UGGUGGUUGAAGAAUGAAGGGACAUAUGAAUCUUUAGCACAUCUGGCAAAUGUGUUCCAGAGAGACUCUAUGAGCCAGCAAACUCACCAAUGCUGCUAAGAACCUGAUAUAUGGACUCUGAAAUCAUAUGUAUGUAUCUGAUUGCUUUGACCUCUUUUUCUUUUCUUUUAUAAUAAAACCUUUAGUUUCAUAUACUAAAGGAUUGGCUGGCAGUGUGGUAUUUUGGGUAAGAUCCAAACAAAUAGUGAUCUGAUAAUGGUGGCUGGCCCUUUGGGUAUCAGAAGAACAUUUGUAUAGUGAGUAGAGUUUUAAAGAACUCCUCACCUUGCUGCACCUAUGUGCUGAUUGGGAGCCAGAGAACUUGAAUGCAAUAAAGGGGGCUGUGUGAUUUGUCUUUGUUUUUAGCUUCUUAAUAACCAGGAAUCAGGAGCACAGUUUGUGACUGAUUAAUUAAUCUAACUACAGUGUUAAACACCAGUUUUGGGAGAAUCUGCUCUCUUUUUGCAGCCUGCCCUGACCUUGACAUUUUCAGUGUGGGCUACCAUCGGCAUCUCAUGUCACACAGGACUCACCAGCCAAGGAUCUGUCUGGAGAGAUUCCUGGAUAGCAUAGCAUGAGAAAAUUUACAUGAUAGACCUUAAUCUCCUUCCUUUUGCCAGGUAGAUAGAUCUCAUAAUCUACCAGGUCUGUUUGUCUAAAAGUAUCACAUUGUAGCCAAUUAUUCUAGUUUAUUGUUCAUUUACUGUGUGGUUAUGAUUAAAUAACAUGUUGUGUCAUCUAUAAUCAUUGUAUGUUAAACAGAGUUAAAUGGCAGGACUAUGAAAGUAUAAAAUCAGUAUGUAGAGGGAAUAAUCAUUUUGAUGGGUUGUCACCCCCAGGAUGCAGUCUGGAAGCUGUGGGAAUCGCUGUGCCCCCUAACAAACCAGCUGGGCAGGCCUCUCUCACACUGCUUUGCUGAUGAUUCAGCCAGCCUCUCCAGGCCCUAUUGUCACCCAACACGACAGCAGGUGGUGCCACACACUCAACUGAGCUAUCUGAGUGCUUUACCUAAGCCACUCAAGGACAGACAGGAUACAAAAGCCAAUUUCCCAGCUCCCCAGCCUUGCCACCUUGCUGGAGUAUAAACCCAGAAUUCUACUGUCUUGCACUGCACAGGGAUAUGUACAAUGUAAGCUCAUUAAUAUAUUCACUUUCCCCUCAUUGUGGGAAAGAUAUGCAACAGCCCUUGUUCACAGAGCUGAGAUUUUCCCAGACGCUUCACUCAAAACACACUGGUUAAGAUAAAGCAUAACACGAGUUUAUUAACUAAAGAAAGAUAGAUUUUAAGUAAUUAUAAGUGAUAGCAAACAGGUCAAAGCAAAUAAACAAAAACACAAACUAAGCCUAAAUUAUUAGCUAGGAUUUGAAUCAGUAAUCUCUCACCCUGAUUGAUGAUACAAGCAGUCCACCAAGUUUUCAUUCACAGGCUAGAAAUCCCUUUAUCCUGAGACCAGCACUUGUCCCCAGUUCAGUCUUUGUUCCUCAGGUGCUUCUAGGAGUUCUCUUGUGUGGAGAGUGAGGCCAAGAAAUGAUGUCACUCCCCAUCUUAUAUAGCUUUUCCAUAUGGCAGGAAUCCUUUGUUCCAAGCUCAGUUCCCAGUCCAGUUUGUGGAAAAAUACAGGUACCGAAAUGGAGUUCAGUGUCAUGUGGUCUGGUCACAUGCUCUAGCAUACUCUGCUGAGUCAUGGCACCUUUACUCAUAGGCUGGCUGAAACAUUCACAGGAAGGCUAAGCUCUUCCAUGGUCCUUUGACUUUGUCGAUGAGCCAUCAGCACUGUCUAGCUUCUUCAUUGUUAUACCUGAAAGGCUAGUUGUGGGUGUUACCCAGAGUAAGCACAUUUGAAAUACAGAUUCAUAGUCAAUAUUCAUAACUUCAGCUACAAAAAUGAUACAUGCAUACAAAUAAGAUAAUCAUAUUCGGCAAAUCAUCACUUUUCCAUAGACACCUUAUAAGACAUAUCUUGUACAAAACGUAUUAUAAUUAUGUCAUAAUCAUAUCAUAAUCAUGCCACUAUGAUUAAUAUGGGGUGUAGUGUCACAACCAUGUAUUAGGUAUCUAAGAAAAUAGGGCUGAAACAGAAGGCCUACAGGCUGAGGCCUUAAGAUUUUAGCUUAGCCAUACUAGGCCAUAGAGUUAAGAAAUGCUGAUAUAAGUGACCAAAGAAUAACCUGAUGCCCUAAGAUUAUGGAAAAAGAUGUUCCAGUGCGUGAUAUUGUGAAAAAUUAACAGUAAGAGUAAUUUUUUGCUUACAAAAUAGGGCAUGUGUUAGAAAAAUGUGAUGACCCACAGGGUGCACGAUAUGCGUAAAUACUAAUGAGGUAUAGUCAGAAUCACAUUAUAAAAAGGGGUGCCCAGAGUGAGAAAAUUGAGUUCUCUAUAGGAAAUUCCAGCAGGAACCGUCCUUCUACUGAUGAUCAAUCCAUGAGAGACCCAUCAGACCAUAACCCUAUUGUUAAGGAUGUAAGUAACUAUAUAUGUAACCUGUGUAUGGAUCUGUAUAGAAUUUCUAUAUGCUUAGGUAAUCAUAACUUUAAUAAAACUUGUAUAUCAGA